UUAAUUGUAAUUGUUUUGUAUUUAGUGAAAAAGGUUUAUCUUGUUUUUGAGAUAAGCGACUGGACGUAGGAUCUUUGUGAUCUGAACCAGGAUAAAAUCAUCUGUGCAACUUUUCUCUCUUCCUUACUCUAUUUAUUUCAGUUUAAUUAUCCGCUUAGUAAGUGAAUUUGAGAAAAAUACUAAAAGGCACGAAAAAGUAAUAUAACCAAUUCACN
rnacentral:lncRNA from 1 species